rnacentral:rRNA from 1 species
GCAGCCGCCACGGUAACACGAAGGGGGCUAGCGUUGCUCGGAAUAACUGGGCGUAAAGGGCGCGUAGGCGGGUUUUUAAGUCAGAGGUGAAAUCCCAAGGCUCAACCUUGGAACUGCCUUUGAUACUGGAAGUCUUGAGUCCGGGAGAGGUGAGUGGAACUGCGUGUGUAGAGGUGAAAUUCGUAGAUAUUCGCAAGAACACCAGUGGCGAAGGCGGCUCACUGGCCCGGUACUGACGCUGAGGUGCGAAAGCGUGGGGAGCAAACAGGAUUAGAUACCCCGGUAGUCCCUGUCUCUUAUAC